AAUGAACGUUGGCGGCGUGGGUUAGGCGUGCAAGUCGAGCGAGAACCCGCAAGGGGGACAGCGGCAAACGGGGUAGGAAUGAUUGGUGACGUACCCUCGGGACGGGGAUAGCCACGGGAAACUGUGGGUAAUACCCGAUAAUCUCCCAGGUUUGAAGACCUGGGUGCAAAGGUGUGAUUCCACCGGAGGAGCGGCCAAUCUGGUAUUAGCUAGUUGGUAGGGUAACGGCCUACCAAGGCUACGAUGCCUAGGGGGUGUGAGAGCAUGGCCCCCCCCACUGGGACUGAGAUACUGCCCAGACACCUACGGGUGGCUGCAGUCGAGAAUCUUCGGCAAUGGGCGAAAGCCUGACCGAGCGACGCCGCGUGCGGGAUGAAGGCCUUCGGGUUGUAAACCGCUGUCAGAGAGGAUGAAGUUAUAGGAGGUUCUCCUUCUAUAUUGACAGAGCCUCAGAGGAAGCACGGGCUAAGUAUGUGCCAGCCGCCGCAGUAACAC
rnacentral:rRNA from 1 species